rnacentral:rRNA from 1 species
AUUGAACGCUGGCGGCAUGCCUUACACAUGCAAGUCGAACGGCAGCGGGGGAGAAGCUUGCUUUUCCUGCCGGCGAGUGGCGAACGGGUGAGUAAUACAUCGGAACGUGCCCUGUAGCGGGGGAUAACUAGUCGAAAGAUUAGCUAAUACCGCCUACGACCUGAGGGUGAAAGUGGGGGACCGCAAGGCCUCAUGCUAUAGGAGCGGCCGAUGUCUGAUUAGCUAGUUGGUGGGGUAAAGGCCUACCAAGGCGACGAUCAGUAGCUGGUCUGAGAGGACGAUCAGCCACACUGGGACUGAGACACGGCCCAGACUCCUACGGGAGGCAGCAGUGGGGAAUUUUGGACAAUGGGCGAAAGCCUGAUCCAGCAAUGCCGCGUGUGUGAAGAAGGCCUUCGGGUUGUAAAGCACUUUUGUCCGGAAAGAAAUGGCUCUGGUUAAUACCUGGGGUCGAUGACGGUACCGGAAGAAUAAGGACCGGCUAACUACGUGCCAGCCGCCGCCGUAA